rnacentral:rRNA from 1 species
GACGUAGGGCGCGAGCGUUGUCCGGAUUUAUUGGGCGUAAAGAGCUCGUAGGCGGCUUGUCGCGUCGUCCGUGAAAACUUGGGGCUUAACCCCCGAGCCUGCAGUGGAUACGGGCAGACUAGAGGUAGGUAGGGGAGAAUGGAAUUCCCGGUGUAGCGGUGAAAUGCGCAGAUAUCGGGAGGAACACCGGUGGCGAAGGCGGUUCUCUGGGCCUUACCUGACGCUGAGGAGCGAAAGCUGGGGAGCAAACAGGAU